rnacentral:misc_RNA from 1 species
UAUCCGUAGGUGAACCUGCGGAAGGAUCAUUAACGUUAUAGUCCCCCGGCCCCUCCGGGCUGGGGUCUUCUAUACCACCCUUUGUUUAUUACACCUUUGUUGCUUUGGCAGGCCUGCCCUCGUGCUGCUGGCUCCGGCCGGCUCGUGCCUGCCAGAGGAUCUAAACUCUGUUUGUAUAUGAAGUCUGAGUACUAUAUAAUAGUUAAAACUUUCAACAACGGAUCUCUUGGUUCCG